GGCCAACCAGGAGCUGGAAGCUGCCCUCCGCUGUGUCGUUUCGCACAACCAAUCAACCUGGAGUGAUCAGCUUCCAUGGAUCGAAUAUGCCCACAACAGCCACACUUCCACCGCCACUGGCAAAUCUCCUUUCGAAGCGUCCCUGGGUUAUCAACCGCCUUUAUUCCCGGCCAUCGAAGGUGAGCACUCCGUUCCUUCUGUACAGGCUCACCUCCGUAGGUGCCGCCGCGCCUGGCGCGCGACUCGGGCGGCCCUACUCCGUACUAAGGAGCGGAAUAAGGCCCUCGCUGACCGUCACCGGACACCAGCCCCUGAGUACGCCAUCGGACAACAGGCCCCCGCCACCCCCCCGGCUCGUGGAUGGUCAGCUGGUUUACAACAUCGCCCGCAUCAUGGACUCCCGACGCCGGGGUAGGGGUUUUCAGUACCUGGUUGAUUGGGAGGGCUACGGGAUAGAGGAACACUCCUGGGUGCCUCGAGCAGCUGUCCUGGAUAAGGCGAUGCUCCGGGACUUCCACCGCAGGCAUCCAGGUAAGCCUGGUGGGUCGCCGGGAGGCUCCCGUUGAGGGGGGGGUACUGUCAUGGUCUCCGUGCCUGCCCAGCCGGCCCCACAAGGCUACAUGUUCUGUUUUGGUUCUCUCUCUCUCCCUCUCUGCCUGGGCGGAGCUCACUGCGGGCUCCCGCCCUUGGUCCACACACCUGUCAUCAAUCACCAGUCAUCACCAGGAGCAGUACUUGAGGCUGGGACACAGAUCCUCUCAUCGCUGGAUGAUUGUGUUUAACACUUUUCCUCCCUGGACCUGUGACCUCCCCGCUGUGUGGUUGUGUGUGAGUUGGAGUAAGAAGAGGAGACGAGUGCGCGAGCGUUUUCCCCUGGACCUUCCCUGGGACCCUUCUCCUACCCGGAUUUCCCCCACUGUACAUAUUCUGCACUUGGUGUUGUAAAUAAACUCUGUGUUGGAACUGACUACCCGCUCUGCGUUUGAGUCCCUGCACCAAUUGUGACAUCGGUUCCCUGGGACCUUUUUCUGUUCAAGCUAUUCUGAAACCAGUGACUGUCCGGUUGGCCCUUC
ensembl:lncRNA